CUUGUAGGCGGUCCGUUAAGUCUGGUGUGGAAUCUCCCGGCUCAACCGGGAGGGGUCAUCGGAUACUGGCGGACUAGAGACGGGUAGAGGAAAGCAGAAUUCCCGGUGUAGCGGUGAAAUGCGUAGAUAUCGGGAGGAAUACCAGUGGCGAAGGCGGCUUUCUGGGCCUGUUCUGACGCUGAGGAGCGAAAGCGUGGGGAGCAAACC
rnacentral:rRNA from 1 species